rnacentral:rRNA from 1 species
CAGCAGUCGCCGCGGUAAUACGUAGAGUGCGAGCGUUAAUCGGAAUUACUGGGCGUAAAGCGUGCGCAGGCGGUUAUAUAAGACAGAUGUGAAAUCCCCGGGCUCAACCUGGGACCUGCAUUUGUGACUGUAUAGCUAGAGUACGGUAGAGGGGGAUGGAAUUCCGCGUGUAGCAGUGAAAUGCGUAGAUAUGCGGAGGAACACCGAUGGCGAAGGCAAUCCCCUGGACCUGUACUGACGCUCAUGCACGAAAGCGUGGGGAGCAAGCAGGAUUAGAGACCCCUGUAGUCCCUGUCUCUUAUAC